UACGAAGGUGGCGAGCGUUGUUCGGAUUCACUGGGCAUAAAGGGCGCGUAGGCGGUGCCGUAAGCGGCGAGUGAAAUCCCAGGGCUCAACCCUGGGACUGCUCGCCGGACUGCGGUGCUCGAGUGCGGGAGGGGGGUGUGGAACUCUAGGUGGAGCGGUGAAAUGCGUAGAUAUCUAGAGGAACACCGGUGGCGAAAGCGACACCCUGGCCCGCAACUGACGCUGAGGCGCGAAAGCGUGGGUAGCAAACAGG
rnacentral:rRNA from 1 species